rnacentral:rRNA from 1 species
UACGAAGGGAGCUAGCGUUGUUCGGAAUCACUGGGCGUAAAGCGCACGUAGGCGGCUGUGCCAGUCAGGGGUGAAAUCCCGGAGCUCAACUUCGGAACUGCCUCUGAUACUGCACGUCUUGAGUCCGGAAGAGGUGGGUGGAAUUCCUAGUGUAGAGGUGAAAUUCGUAGAUAUUAGGAAGAACACCGGUGGCGAAGGCGGCCCACUGGUCCGGUACUGACGCUGAGGUGCGAAAGCGUGGGGAGCAAACAGG